UACAGAGGUCUCAAGCGUUGUUCGGAUUCAUUGGGCGUAAAGGGUGCGUAGGCGGCGCGGUAAGUCGGGUGUGAAAUCUCGGGGCUUAACUCCGAAACUGCAUUCGAUACUGCCGUGCUUGAGGACUGGAGAGGAGACUGGAAUUUACGGUGUAGCGGUGAAAUGCGUAGAUAUCGUAAGGAAGACCAGUGGCGAAGGCGGGUCUCUGGACAGUUCCUGACACUGAGACACGAAGGCUAGGGGAGCAAACGGG
rnacentral:rRNA from 1 species